rnacentral:rRNA from 1 species
UCUGGCGCCUUCGGUGUCCGAGUUGUAAUUUGAAGAAGGUAACUUUGGUUUUGGCUCUUGUCUAUGUUCCUUGGAACAGGACGUCACAGAGGGUGAGAAUCCCGUGCGAUGAGAUGCCCAAUUCCAUGUAAAGUGCUUUCGAAGAGUCGAGUUGUUUGGGAAUGCAGCUCUAAGUGGGUGGUAAAUUCCAUCUAAAGCUAAAUAUUGGCGAGAGACCGAUAGCGAACAAGUACAGUGAUGGAAAGAUGAAAAGAACUUUGAAAAGAGAGUGAAAAAGUACGUGAAAUUGUUGAAAGGGAAGGGCUUGAGAUCAGACUUGGUAUUUUGUAUGUCUUGCUUUCGGGUAGGGCCUCUGCAGUUUAUCGGGCCAGCAUCAGUUUGGAUGGUAGGAUAAUGACAUUGGAACGUAGCACUGCUUCGGUGGUGUGUUAUAGACUUUGUUGAUACUGCCUGUCUAGACUGAGGACUGCGUCUUUGACUAGGAUGCUGGCAUAAUGAUCCUAAGCCA